AAUAACUAAAUAUCACUUCUUAUCUUCAGAGGUGAAGGCAACGCGCUGGUGUGAACUGGCAGCCGGGGAGAAGCGAUGAAGCACAGAUAGAACAUCUAAUUUGAUACAGCUGCUGACAAAAGAUAACUGGAGAUCUAGAACUGCCAUCUAUUUAUUGCAGCUCUAAGUACCAGCGAGCUGCUUGUUGCUUCUGCUGCACGCACACGGCAGUAUCCCAUCUGUCCUGCAGCACCAAGCUUUGGGAGCAGGGGGCUGCGUUUCAUCCAAAAAAAUAACGGCUCGAGCUCACCUGCUGUUUGUUGAGGCAGCUCAUUAACACAAACAAGCAUGACGGCUGUUUGCCAUUAAGCCAAAAUGAGAAGCUAGCUCCUCCACGGGUUUGUUUAGCCGUGACGUGGCCACCCAAAACCACAAGCUAUUUGUGAGAUUGAAUUACGCGAGCAACUGGUCCCGCUGCCGGCUGAAUGUCAGCGCAGACCCGAGGGCCUGGUCCCACCUCAGCUGGGGUGUGUGGAAGAGGAAGAGCAGGAACACCAAAGAAAAACACAGAGAAAGAGAAGGAAAUUCUUCCUGGAAAGAGCAAAGCUGCAUUAAAAAGUACAGCCAAAAAUCAUGUCCCAAGCAUGCCUCAAGUAAAGGAAACUUAUCUGUAGUCAGAAUUCGUUUGGACACAUCAGGGACUCACCUCUUCAUUGAAUAAUCCCAUAAGAUGCAUGCUUGAUUGUUUUUUUACAAUAUUUAAUAAUGACUAGAUUAAAAAAAACCCUACUAUUCUGAUAACGUACUAUCUAAAGUUAAUUCCCAAUUGGAAUGGCUGUCCCCAUUGGACAGCCUGGAGAUGUUUGGCUGAGAAUUAGCAAGGAAAAUGAAGUUUCAAGUGGAUCGUUUGUUUACAAAGUUUUUUUAAUGGUUUAAGAUGAAAAUGGUAUCAGGAUGAUUUAAUGAUCUGAUAUAUUUAUCUGAAAUCUAAGGGAGUCUUUUGAUGGCUGAGGUUGGAUCUGGUCCUUAAUAUGUAUAUUAAUAUUUUUUUUAUAUACUAUAUAUGUACUAUGUAGAAUUAUAGAAACUGACUUAGGAGUACAACAUUAACCCAAUUUUAUUCUACAUUAUGUUCUUUGAACCACAAUUGGGUUAUUUUACAUUUUUUGUCUAUUGUUUUUCUGCUUUAUUCUGUUGGUGUGUUUUUGUCAAAAAUAAACUGUGCCCAAGGAUAUUCCUCUGAUUUAUC
rnacentral:lncRNA from 1 species